UGGGGAGUAUUGAGCUUUGUAGUCGAGCAGAUAACAGCACUAAGAUGCCCGCCUGGGGAGUACGGCCGAGAAGGUUAAAACUCAAAUGAAUUGACAGGGGGUCUGUCACAAGCCUAGGUGCAGCAGAUGGUUUCAUUCGAAGCAACGCGAAGAACCUUACCAGGCCUUGACAUCCAAUGAACUUUCCAGAGAUGGAUUGGUGCCUUCGGGAACAUUGAGACAGGUGCUGCAUGGCUGUCGUCAGCUCGUGUCGUGAGAUGUUGGGUUAAGUCCCGUAACGAGCGCAACCCUUGUCCUUAGUUACCAGCACGUUAAGGUGGGCACUCUAAGGAGACUGCCGGUGACAAACCGGAGGAAGGUGGGGAUGACGUCAAGUCAUCAUGACAUUUGUGUAC
rnacentral:rRNA from 1 species